rnacentral:tRNA from 1 species
GCCUUUUUAGUAUAAAAGUAUAUUUGGCUUCCAACCAGAGGGUCUAGAACAUUCUAGAAAAGGCA